UACGUAGGGGGCAAGCGUUGUCCGGAUUUAUUGGGCGUAAAGAGCGUGUAGGCGGCCAGAUAGGUCAGCUGUGAAAACUCGAGGCUCAACCUCGAGAUGUCGGCUGAAACCAUCUGGCUAGAGUCCGGAAGAGGAGAAUGGAAUUCCCGGUGUAGCGGUGAAAUGCGCAGAUAUCGGGAGGAACACCAGUAGCGAAGGCGGCUCGCUGGGCCAUUCCUGACGCUGAGACGCGAAAGCUAGGGGAGCGAACAGG
rnacentral:rRNA from 1 species